rnacentral:tRNA from 1 species
GGGAGUGUGGCUGAGUGGUAGAGUGCUCAUCUCCUGAGUGUGAGGCCUUGAGUUCAAAUCCCAGUACUUACC